UGUUCUGUGGUAUAGUUGGUUAAAGCAUCUGUUCAGUGAAUACGGUGAUGUGGGUUCAAAUCCCACCAGGGUAC
rnacentral:tRNA from 1 species